rnacentral:sRNA from 1 species
CCGGGGCAAGACGCCCACUGCCUGGGCACGCUCGCCGGGCCAGAAAGGAAGACAGAAAAGCCGCGGGCUGACCUGCAGAUUCACCAUCGCUACAAUGCCUGACUCCAGACAAACAAAAAAAAGCUCUGAACCAGUGAAUCCUGGACAUCAUUUCACUUGACAUUUCAGAUCUUCUGUUUAUGCUGUCAGUAGAGAUGCUGCCAGUCAUUGUUAGGAUAUUUGUGUUCUAUUUUGUUUGUGCUUGAUACAGAAGUAUAUUUAUGCUUAAUUGAG